UGGGGAAUUUUGGACAAUGGGCGAAAGCCUGAUCCAGCAAUGCCGCGUGUGUGAAGAAGGCCUUCGGGUUGUAAAGCACUUUUGUCCGGAAAGAAAUCCUUGGCUCUAAUACAGUCGGGGGAUGACGGUACCGGAAGAAUAAGCACCGGCUAACUACGCGCCAGCAGCCGCGGUAAUACGUAGGGUGCAAGCGUUAAUCGGAAUUACUGGGCGUAAAGCGUGCGCAGGCGGUUUGCUAAGACCGAUGUGAAAUCCCCGGGCUCAACCUGGGAACUGCAUUGGUGACUGGCAGGCUAGAGUAUGGCAGAGGGGGGUAGAAUUCCACGUGUAGCAGUGAAAUGCGUAGAGAUGUGGAGGAAUACCGAUGGCGAAGGCAGCCCCCUGGGCCAAUACUGACGCUCAUGCACGAAAGCGUGGGGAGCAAACAGGAUUAGAUACCCUGGUAGUCCACGCCCUAAACGAUGUCAACUAGUUGUUGGGGAUUCAUUUCCUUAGUAACGUAGCUAACGCGUGAAGUUGACCGCCU
rnacentral:rRNA from 1 species